ACCCCCUGGCAAUGGGCAAAGAGACAACUUGAAGGUGGUUUUCCUCUAAUAUCAGUCAGGGGUACAGAAGGCAGCCCUUUGUUCAUCAUAGCUUGAUGCCUGUCUUGGUGACCAAAGCUGUUUUAUGCAUAGGAUAUAUAA